CUCUUUUCCCAUCAUCCUCAGCUCCCCACCCAGGCGCUUUCGUCUUCAAAUCCCACCCUAAGCUCUCAGCCUUCAUCCUUCUUCGAGAGUCUCCUCCGAUUUUUCACCUGAACCUCCUCUGCCUGCGUUCGCUCCUCCCUCUUUCUCACCACCCUUUGCUCAGCUUCGGGAAUUAGGUGGUUGUGCUGCUGUUUGCCAUUUGAGGACAUCAGCAAAAUGAAGGGCUAUGUGAGAUGGGAUGUGGCUACUUUGGAGGAUAUUGAAGCAAAUAAGCCUGUGAGACAGAAAAUCAUUGAACCUAAGACACCAUAUCACCCCAUGAUUGAUGAUGAUGGUGUACAGCUUUUUUAUGAGCAUCUUUGAAUGAGAUACCUUGUGUAGAUUCAUAGGGGGGACUAGAGAAUUUUUACUGAUGUAAGGAUAGAUGAAUUACUACACCACGGACUAGUAGUGUUUGUCUACCAUGUUGGUGGUACAAUUUGUUAUGGAGAAUCUCUUCUAUUUGUUUGUAUUUGCAAAUGGAAGAGCCAUAUUGUUCUGAUGCA